rnacentral:rRNA from 1 species
UACAGAGGGUGCAAGCGUUGUUCGGAAUUAUUGGGCGUAAAGGGUGCGUAGGUGGGCAGGUAAGUCAGUGGUGAAAUCUCCGGGCUUAACUCGGAAACUGCCAUUGAUACUAUCUGUCUUGAAUACCGUGGAGGUUAGCGGAAUAUGUCAUGUAGCGGUGAAAUGCUUAGAUAUGACAUAGAACACCAAUUGCGAAGGCAGCUGGCUACACGAAUAUUGACACUGAUGCACGAAAGCGUGGGGAUCAAACAGG